CUGAGAACCUCACCUCCCCCAGCCGCCGAUGUUCUUCAGAUGUACUAUCUCUGAGCUUAGGCUGAUGAAAGCUGAGCGUCUGUCAUUUGCAAUCAACUCAGCAGUGAAAAGAAAAAAAAAACCUGGGGGUACAGUCAGCACUUUCGGUUUUCUCAUCUGAGACACUAGAACACACUUUCAGGGACUACUCGGGGCCCAGGGAGGCUGAUG
rnacentral:lncRNA from 1 species